rnacentral:rRNA from 1 species
GAUGAACGCUGGCGGUAUGCUUAACACAUGCAAGUCGAACGGACUCUUCGGAGUUAGUGGCGGACGGGUGAGUAACGCGUGAGAAUCUGGCUUUGGGUUCGGGACAACCACUGGAAACGGUGGCUAAUACCGGAUGUGCCGAGAGGUAAAAGAGAAAUUGCCUGAAGAUGAGCUCGCGUCUGAUUAGCUAGUUGGUGAGGUAAAGGCUCACCAAGGCAGCGAUCAGUAGCUGGUCUGAGAGGAUGACCAGCCACACUGGGACUGAGACACGGCCCAGACUCCUACGGGAGACAGCAGUGGGGAAUUUUCCGCAAUGGGCGAAAGCCUGACGGAGCAAUACCGCGUGAGGGAAGAAGGCUCUUGGGCUGUAAACCUCUUUUCUUAGGGAAGAACAAAAUGACGGUACCUAAGGAAUCAGCAUCGGCUAACUCCGUG